CAGGAGGCCCUGGGGCACAGUGGGUUGAAGUGGUCUCUUCGCGGUGCCAGGAGCAACAUGACCCCCAGCAGGGCAGACUCCCAGCCCUGUGUGCUGUGCUCAGAAGCCUCUCGCCAAGGGCAGACCAGCCCCAAGGUCAUCUGCACUCCCAGGGCCACACUAAGCUACGUUCCAAGGCACCUGUCUCGUGGCUGGAGGAGGAAAAUGGAGGUUUCCAAACUGAGAACCUGGAGCAGAUGGGCGCUCCCCACACAGAGCUCCUGGUAGUCUGUGUGCUUCCGGCGUAGGGAAGCUCUGCUCUGUCCACCCCACCCAAGGGUCCACCUCAGCAGCACAGCCCUCCUUGAGGUAGACCCUAUCCCAGCCGCGCUCUCCUGACUUCCAGGGAACAAGGCACUCCCUCUCCUGACCCUCUGCCCAGUGUGAACAAAGUGGAGCUGCAGGAGUGAAAUAAAGCAAGACUUGCUGGACCCUGAGGAGGGGCUGGCAUAUCACAAGGAAACUGCCUUGUUCCCAAAAACCGUCUGUCUAGCUGUGGUGGCAGAGACUCCUGGUAGCUCUUCCUUUCUCUGGGGUGAAUGCACUGGGCAGGGUGAGAAGUCUGAGUCCCAUCAGCUGCCAUCACUAGCCCCUCAGAUCUCCUGAGGACCACGGCGGGUGGGGAGAGAGGCAGAGGCAGGGCGACUCCCCCUGGGGGGCCUAUUGGCACAUGGCCCCAUGGAAGUGGGGGCACUGAAGAGAAUCCUGGGGCCUGGCAGGCUUGGGGAACCAAGCACGGUGGCCUGGGGGAGGGGCGGAACCAGUGGGAGAGAAGCUUUCAGACUUUCAGGGAACGUAAAUUUUACCCCCGGCUACUUUCUCUGGGAUUUAUUUCUCGGUGAACUUGAGACUUUGCCUAAUUACGUUUGGGUCUCUUUCAAAGCACAUAAAUUGCAUCCAGUUCUUCUGCCUCCUUCU
rnacentral:lncRNA from 1 species